CGAAGUUAAGCAACAUUGGGCCUGAUCAGUACUUAGAUGGGUGAUCGCUUGGGAAUACGAGGUGUUGUAAG